rnacentral:lncRNA from 1 species
AGGGCUCGGUGGAGGUGCUCGCCUUCCCCGCUGCUUUGCUCGGAGCCUCGCUCGCCGGCUCGCUCGGUCUGGGGGGGCCUGGGCCUGGCUCCGAGAAGCCCCCCUAUCCCGGAGGCUGCAGCCUCUAGCCCGCAGCUCGGGGCCACCUGGGCGCCCCCCAGCCCUCAAUCCCCCCAAACUGAGGGCCACCCUGCCCUGCCUCCGCGCGUCCCCGAGCUGGCAGCAGGGGCCAGAGCUCCCCUCCCCGCCCCUCCCGGCCGGCCCCCAUGCCCCCGCGCCCAGCUCCGCGGCGCGGCCGGGGACGGAGCCGGGAGUCCGGGCCGCCGCUUCCAGGGGACAGUGGGGGAGGAGGAGCCGGCGGGCCCCGCCGCCCGCGCGCCCGCCCGGCCCGAGCCCGCCCCGCCGCCCCACCGGGCCCGCGCCGCCCCCGAGCGGCCGCCCCAGGCGCCCCGCGCUCACCGGCCGCCGGAGCCCGCCCGGCAGGCAGCAGAAGCGGAGACGCGGCAUCCAGCGGCCCCGGCCCGGUCCGGGCUGGAGCGCAGCGCGGCGCAGCGCAGCGCCGCCCCCCGCAGCCGCGCGAGCCGAGCCGAAAGGGAGCUCCCUGCUGGCGGCUCCGGGGAUAAACGCCCGGCCUUCCUGGCAGCGCCCGGGCGCGCCUCCAGGACGGGCCAUGUGGGCCCGGGCGCUGAUCCGGAGCCCUCUUUCCGCGUCCGAGGCCCCGCCUGGAGCUCCGGGUGCCCUGGGCGCCGGAGGCCGCUGGGCGCGCCCGGGGCAGGCACCGCGCCCGCAUGUGCAGAGCAGGUUCCCUCCAAGGCCGGCCCCGGCCCCGGCCCCGGCACGGGUGGGGCGGGGGGCAGUGCUGUCCGGAGGAAGCAUUUGAGACUUGCUGGUCACAUCUUCCCAGGGUGUCUCCGCAGAGGCGGACGCUGGGCGCUGCUGGACGGUGCCAGAUGGUUCAGUCCAAAGCAGGCUCUGCCCACAUGUCCAAGGUGGCAUAGUCAGGAGGUACUCCCCUACGUGGACACGGGCUUGUGGCAGCUUGGUCUGAGAGAGCCCUGCCUCGAGGGGAGCUGCCUGAGGGGCACCAGAGCCCAGGAGGCAGCCCCCAGUGGCACUCACUCACUCCCAAAGGAGUCCAACAAUGCUAAGAUCAACACCUUUCAGAAGCUUUUUGGAAUGAGGUCUGCCCCUAGGUCCUCAUGUCCUGUAAAUGUCCAGUGA